GGGGGAUGCCUUGGCUCUCAGAGACGAAGAAGGACGUGUUAAGCUGCGAUAAGCUACGGUGAGCUGCACAAAAGCGUUGAUCCGUAGAUUUCCGAAUGGGGCAACCCGGCUAGUUGAAGACUAGUCACCGAAAGGAGUGAACGCGGGGAACUGAAACAUCUAAGUACCCGGAGGAAGAGAAAACAAUAGUGAUUCCGCAAGUAGUGGCGAGCGAACGCGGAUUAGCCCAAACCAAGAUUGUUACGGCAGUUUUGGGGUUGUAGGACUGCGAUGUGGACUAUAUAGACGAAGUGGAAUGGCGUGGGAAAGCCAUCCGUAGAAGGUGAGAGACCUGUACACGUAAAGCUAUAUUACCUAGCAGUAUCCUGAGUAGGGCGGGACCGGAGAAAUCCCGUCUGAAUUUGCCGGCACCAUCCGGUAAGGCUAAAUACUCCUGAGAGACCGAUAGUGAACAAGUACCGUGAGGGAAAGGUGAAAAGUACCCUGAGUAAGGGGGUGAAAUAGAACCUGAAACCAUGCGCUUACAAGCGGUCGGAGCCCUUUAGUGGGGUGACGGCGUGCCUUUUGCAUAAUGAGCCUACGAGUUACUUUAUAUGGCAAGGUUAAGGAUUAGAGGUCUGUAGCCGGAGCGAAAGCGAGUCUUAACAGGGCGUGUAGUCAUAUGGAGUAGACGCGAAACUUGGUGAUCUACCCAUGGCCAGGGUGAAGUUUAGGUAACACUAAAUGGAGGCCCGAACCAGUUGACGUUGAAAAGUCUUUGGAUGAGCUGUGGGUAGGGGUGAAAGGCCAAUCAAACUGAGAGAUAGCUCGUACUCCCCGAAAUGCUUUUAGGAGCAGCGUGGGAUGAUGUUUACUAGAGGUAGAGCUACCGAUUGGACUAGGGGGAGUCACAUCCUACCAAAUCCAGACGAACUCCGAAUGCUAGUAAAUUAGUCCUGCAGUGAGGGCAUGGGUGCUAAGGUCCGUGUCCGAGAGGGAAAGAACCCAGACCUACGGCUAAGGUCCCAAAAUCUGUACUAAGUUGAACUAAGGCGGUCCAAUUGCUUAGACAGCCAGGAUGUUGGCUUGGAAGCAGCCAUUCAUUUAAAGAGUGCGUAACAGCUCACUGGUCGAGCGAUAGGGCAUCGAUAAUAAUCGGGCAUAAAGUACAGUACCGAAGCUUAGGAUUUAUGGUAGGGGAGCAUUCUCUGUGGGGUGAAGGUGUGUUGUGAGACAUGCUGGACUGCAGAGAAGCGCAAAUGUAGGCAUAAGUAACGAUAAUGCGGGCGAGAAACCCGCACACCGAUAGACUAAGGUUUCCCCGGCAAUGCUAAUCAGCCGGGGGUUAGUCGGGGCCUAAGGCGAACCCGAGAGGGGUAGUCGAUGGAUAAUCGGUUAAUAUUCCGAUACUACCCAUAACUGCGAUGGGGUGACGGAGGAGUGAAAGUCCCGCGUGCUGACGGAAUAGCACGUUGAAGCGUGUAGGUAUAUUAGAUGUAGGCAAAUCCGCAUUUGAUGCUGAACGUGAUAGUACCAUGAAGCUACGGCGGAAUGGAUAGUGGGCCUAAACAGACUUCCGAGAAAACCCUCUAAGCUUCAGGUUAUGGGUACCCGUACCGUAAACCGACACAGGUAGUCAAGGAGAGAAUCCUGAGGUGCUCGAGUGAUUCAUGGCUAAGGAACUAGGCAAAAUGACCCUGUAACUUCGGGAGAAGGGGUCCCUACGUGAGUAGGGCGCAGCGAAACGAUCCAGGCGACUGUUUAUCAAAAACACAUGGCUUUGCGAACUUGAAAGAGGAAGUAUAAGGCCUGACACCUGCCCGGUGCUGGAAGGUUAAGGGGGGGAGUUAGCUUCGGCGAAGCUCUGAACUGAAGCCCCAGUAAACGGCGGCCGUAACUAUAACGGUCCUAAGGUAG
rnacentral:rRNA from 1 species